rnacentral:rRNA from 1 species
AAGGGGGCUAGCGUUGCUCGGAAUGACUGGGCGUAAAGGGCGCGUAGGCGGCACAACUCGUCAGGCGUGAAAUUCCCGGGCUUAACCUGGGGACUGCGUUUGAUACGGUUGAGCUAGAGGAUGGAAGAGGCUCGUGGAAUUCCCAGUGUAGAGGUGAAAUUCGUAGAUAUUGGGAAGAACACCGGUGGCGAAGGCGGCGAGCUGGUCCAUUACUGACGCUGAGGCGCGAAAGCGUGGGGAGCAAACAGGAUUAGAUACCCUGGUAGUCCACGCUGUAAACGAUGUGCGCUGGAUGUUGGGUAACUUAGUUACUCAGUGUCGUAGCUAACGCGAUAAGCGCACCGCCUGGGGAGUACGGCCGCAAGG